AUUGAACGCUGGCGGCAGGCCUAACACAUGCAAGUCGAGCGGCAGCGGGAAAGUAGCUUGCUACUUUUGCCGGCGAGCGGCGGACGGGUGAGUAAUGCCUGGGAAAUUGCCCAGUCGAGGGGGAUAACAGUUGGAAACGACUGCUAAUACCGCAUACGCCCUACGGGGGAAGGCAGGGGACCUUCGGGCCUUGCGCGAUUGGAUAUGCCCAGGUGGGAUUAGCUAGUUGGUGAGGUAAUGGCUCACCAAGGCGACGAUCCCUAGCUGGUCUGAGAGGAUGAUCAGCCACACUGGAACUGAGACACGAUCCAGACUCCUACGGGAGGCAGCAGUGGGGAAUAUUGCACAAUGGGGGAAACCCUGAUGCAGCCAUGCCGCGUGUGUGAAGAAGGCCUUCGGGUUGUAAAGCACCCUCAGCGAGGAGGAAAGGUCAGUAGCUAAUAUCUGCUGACUGUGACGUUACUCGCAGAAGAAGCACCGGCUAACUCCGUGCCAGCCGCCGCAGUAAUAC
rnacentral:rRNA from 1 species